rnacentral:lncRNA from 1 species
GAUGCUUCAAAAUUUUUUCUUAAAGGUCUGUGUCAGAGAUUAGCUCACUUGACUCUCUAUUUUACAAUAAGGAAACUAAAGCUCAGAGAGGCAAAAGCUUGCCCAAUGUAUCACAUUCAGGAAAUGGGACCUCACAGAAGGGUACCCAGGCUUUCUAAUUUCGUAAGCCCUCUCAUCACACAGAGAAGAUGGCAGAUCUACACCACUGAAAGGACAAAAGACAAGAGAAUGGUGGCUUGUGCCUCUGCCAGCCUAAUCCCUGGAAAUAAGACUUCUUUACUUCCGAGCGUUUUCCUGGGUCCUGCCUCACAUCUGACCAGGGCAGGUGGCCUCCUCAUCACACUGCUGCCUCUGCUGUUGGCCCUGCUCAUGAAGCCACUAAACAUAUGGUCUCAGCUCUCUUGUCCUCCAAGAAAGACAACCACCACUGCUGCCUUUCUGAUCUCACGACCAAAGAGAAGAUGCU